GUAAAUUUUGCAUUUAUCUAUUUUUAACUUUUUGAAAGAUACAGAAAAGAUUAGUAUGACCUCUGCAUAAGGAUGACACGCAAAAACGUUCCACACUUUAACUAUAU